rnacentral:rRNA from 1 species
AAUUGGAGGGCAAGUCUGGUGCCAGCAGCCGCGGUAAUUCCAGCUCCAAUAGCGUAUAUUAAAGUUGUUGCAGUUAAAAAGCUCGUAGUUGAAUUUCGGGGUUAGUAGGUUGGUCAUGCCUCUGGUAUGUACUGGUCUCACUGAUUCCUCCUUCCUUAUGAACCGUAAUGCCAUUAAUUUGGUGUUGCGGGGAAUUUGGACUGUUACUUUGAAAAAAUUAGAGUGUUUAAAGCAAGCUAACGCUUGAAUACAUUAGCAUGGAAUAAUGAAAUAGGACGUUCGAUCUUAUUUUGUUGGUUUCUAGGAUUGACGUAAUGAUUAAUAGGGAUAGUUGGGGGCAUUAGUAUUCAAUUGUCAGAGGUGAAAUUCUUGGAUUUAUUGAAGACUAACUACUGCGAAAGCAUUUGCCAAGGAUGUCUUCAUUAAUCAAGAACGAAAGUUAGGGGAUCGAAGACGAUCAGAUACCGUCGUAGUCUUAACCAUAAACUAUGCCGACUAGGGAUCGGAUGAUGUUAAUUUUUUAAUGACUCAUUCGGCGCCUUACGGGAAACCAAAGUGU